GCAAAGUAUUGAACAUGACCACAGUCGUCUUAACAUCGUCAUGUAAAUACGUGUCAUCAAAGAUUACUCAAAAUUGCUCAUUAUAUCUCAAUCAUAUUUAAAACGGACGACAUGACAAGUAUUAGCUUUUGAUUUAUACAAAAAAGAUCAAAAUCAGUGCACCCAGUAAAAAGAUAUAACGUAUAAUACAACGUAGGGUGACGAAAAAACCGUCAAGUAAAUACGCAAUAUUAGAUAUAACUCACAAAUUACUAAUCAAAUCUCAAUUAAAUUUGAAUGGGACCACGUGACGAAUAGUAGCUUUUAAUUUAUAUAAGAAACGUCAAAAUCGGUGCACCCAGUAAAAAGUUAUGAGGUAUAAUACAACGUAGGGUGACGAAAAUAAUGUCAAGUAAAUACGCGUUAUCAAAGAUUAAUCAAAAAAAUAGUUAUCAGAUCUCGAUAAAAUUU
rnacentral:misc_RNA from 1 species